rnacentral:lncRNA from 1 species
UAAUUCAAGCCUGAAAGCUAUUACAUGUUUCUUUUGUCAAUCCUCGGGCCUGUUUACAUGGAGAGGUGGCGAAUACAAUGUACCUUAAAUGGUAUGAUCCUUGUGCAAAGUAGAACUAAGAAGAGGUGGUACAAAUGCAUGUAGAUACCAAGACUUGCAUGAUUCCCAAUAUUAUUGCACAUUCGGUAGCAAAGAUGUUGACACCACAUGUCGUCUGAUGAUGACUUUUACGGGAUGGAAUAAGGUUUGGUCAUUGUAUUCCCUGAAAGGAAUGAGAGGAGAAAAGAAACUGGAUUACCUGGCUAUCAGCAGGCCAAUGCUGGCUGCAGGUCAAUAUUGAAUGCUCUUAUGAAAACUCAUAAGACAAUAACAAAAAAAAGAAGCUGAGGAUGCUGUUUUUAAAACAUGCUCCAUUCAAAAAAGGUGGAUUGAAAUUUAAGAAAGGUGUGACGGGUGCGUCUGCUGCAGGCAGGGAGGAUUUGACGGUCAGCCAGAGGAUUUGGAGAUAUACUGUAAUGUCUUUAAUGUGGACUUGCGUGUGAUUUAAGUUUUCACAAGGGUUUUAGUAUGUGUGAAAGUAUGUCAGUUUUCAAAAUUGAGCUAUGACAAUUUGCUCAAACUACAUAACUCAAAGAACUUUGAAGCGGUCUUGUUGACGUCAUGAGCUUUUGUUUAAUACCAGUAUUGGUGAUAUAGGCCCAUGAUUAUAUACUGUAGAAAGUGAACAAGUUCACUGCUCGAUACAGAUAAUCAUAUAGCCUGAUCUCUGAAUGAUAUUUAUGAACCAAAAGAAGGCAUAAAAUAAAAACAUACAGUAGUGAUUUGAAUUAUUGAUAUUGUUAAACUAGAUCUGGGCCUGUAUUCAUAAAGGAUCUUAGUAAAAAAAAAUAUCUAGAACUUAAUAUUCUUUGAACAAUCAAGUCAAAAACUUUUCACGCUCCUUAAAUAUUUCACAGCAUGACUCCAAACUUGUAUAUUAUACCAAAGAAAAAUAGAUUGGCAACUUGAAAGGCGUAUAGAGCAAAUCUCACCAAAAUCACAUGGCAACUGAAUGAGGUCUCCUUUUAGUAAGCAUAUUUGAUCACAAUUGAUCAAGUCAGCAAACGCUUUGAAA